UACGUAGGGGGCAAGCGUUGUCCGGAUUUAUUGGGCGUAAAGAGCGUGUAGGCGGCCUGAUAGGUCGGUUGUGAAAACUGGAGGCUUAACCUUCAGACGUCGGCCGAAACCAUCUGGCUAGAGUCCGGAAGAGGGGAGUGGAAUUCCUGGUGUAGCGGUGAAAUGCGCAGAUAUCAGGAAGAACACCCGUGGCUAAGGCGGCUCUCUAGUACGGUACUGACGCUGAGACGCGAAAGCGUGGGGAGCGAACAGG
rnacentral:rRNA from 1 species